CUCGAGCCAGCACAAUCUUUUGUGCAUCCUCACCGACCCUGCCUUCUCUGUCCCACGCGGAAGCAUUUGAUCGCGAAAGCCACCCUGCGAAGCCUUCAGACCCUCAGUGAACUGGCCUUUCUAUCUCUUUCUACCCUAUCUUAUGUCUACCCUCUCGUGAAUGAAAGUCCCAACCACGGCCGGGGGAAACCGGGAAACUCCUUUUUCGUGAACUGAAAAAGAUCCAAAUUUGAAAAGUUCCACUUUUCCAGAAACAAAUGCUCGUGAUUUCAUCUUUGUUGAGGGGUUUUGAAUUCCAACCAGGAAUUCGAUUCGUCGAUAUUGAUUGAUUUGUUGCUGGGGAGAAGAUCGAUUGGAACUAUGACUCUGUGAAGAUCAGACCGAGUCAAAUCUGAAUUUUUGAGAUUUAAUUUCUUUGGUUCUUGGUGGCCGGCGGCGGCGACGAUGGGAAAAGGAGAAGAUAAAAGGAGGGAGAAAGAUUCGUCGGAGGACGAAGAAGAGUGUGAGGUGGAAGAGAUCAAGGAUGAGAUCGAUUCUUCCAACAGAAACCGAUACUUUCAGCUUAUGACCGAGUUGAGAUUAACUCCGAUGAGGCUCAGUGGUGGAAUCAAAGGCUUCGUCAUUGAGAGAUAAUACCCCUAUUAACUAACUUAAUCUAUCAUUUAUUACGAAACUUCCGGUGAUUUUGUUCGUUAAUUCCGUAAAGCUUGGCGCCAUCUCCGUCCUUGCGGUGUAUGUGGUGGAUUAACUACCCACCGUUAAUUGGAACCUCAAGAGUUCAGAGUUGCGAUUCGCGAUAGGCUGGAAAAAGAAGAAGAAGAAGGUGGUCCCUCACCCUCCCUCGUACCCUGGUUAGCUGGUUUAUCAUGCUUGAGGGUCAGACAAGACCCAACAAUGGGCAUCAGAGGUCCACACAACAGUGGACCAACUUGGAUUGAUUCGGUUUAGUCUAAAGCGCACACUUUUUCUGUUUUGAGUCAAUCUAUCCAAGUGGUGGCGCCUAAUUUAAUGAAAA